CGAACGAGUUCUGAUUAUUGAAAGGUGCUUGCAUCUUGAUUUAAUUUUGAACGAGUGGCGGACGGGUGAGUAACACGUGGGUAACCUGCCCUUAAGUGGGGGAUAACAUUUGGAAACAGAUGCUAAUACCGCAUAAAUCCAAGAACCGCAUGGUUCUUGGCUGAAAGAUGGCGUAAGCUAUCGCUUUUGGAUGGACCCGCGGCGUAUUAGCUAGUUGGUGAGGUAACGGCUCACCAAGGCAAUGAUACGUAGCCGAACUGAGAGGUUGAUCGGCCACAUUGGGACUGAGACACGGCCCAAACUCCUACGGGAGGCAGCAGUAGGGAAUCUUCCACAAUGGACGCAAGUCUGAUGGAGCAACGCCGCGUGAGUGAAGAAGGCUUUCGGGUCGUAAAACUCUGUUGUUGGAGAAGAAUGGUCGGCAGAGUAACUGUUGUCGGCGUGACGGUAUCCAACCAGAAAGCCACGGCUAACUACGUGCCAGCAGCCGCGGUAAUACGUAGGUGGCAAGCGUUAUCCGGAUUUAUUGGGCGUAAAGCGAGCGCAGGCGGUUUUUUAAGUCUGAUGUGAAAGCCCUCGGCUUAACCGAGGAAGUGCAUCGGAAACUGGGAAACUUGAGUGCAGAAGAGGACAGUGGAACUCCAUGUGUAGCGGUGAAAUGCGUAGAUAUAUGGAAGAACACCAGUGGCGAAGGCGGCUGUCUGGUCUGUAACUGACGCUGAGGCUCGAAAGCAUGGGUAGCGAACAGGAUUAGAUACCCUGGUAGUCCAUGCCGUAAACGAUGAAUGCUAGGUGUUGGAGGGUUUCCGCCCUUCAGUGCCGCAGCUAACGCAUUAAGCAUUCCGCCUGGGGAGUACGACCGCAAGGUUGAAACUCAAAGGAAUUGACGGGGCCCGCACAAGCGGUGGAGCAUGUGGUUAAUUUCGAAGCAACGCGAAGAACCUUACCAGGUCUUGACAUCUUUUUGAU
rnacentral:rRNA from 2 species